GUUGAUGGUACUGGAGAAGGACUGCGC
rnacentral:piRNA from 1 species